GAUAAGGUUACAGCUUUAGCGGAUGGCCAGGGAGGCCUCCUAGUUUGUGUCCCUUCACUGGGCCGGCCUUCUUCCUUCUGCCCGCCCUCCUUUCUUUGGGGCGGGAUGGGUAGUGCUGACUGGGCCCAACCUGAUGGACCUGUUUGUUCUUUGCCCAGAGGGAUGGCAUGCCUGGAAAUUUUUCUUCCACAGCCAAAUUCAACUCCUCUUACAUCUGACCUUCAGCAGCAAAAGCCUUGGCUGAGGGUCAGCACUUCAAAUUAAACUUGUUAAACAUGGAGAAGAUAGUUGGCAGAAUUUUAAAAAGAGCUGCUAUCUGUGCUAGAGCUGGUGCUAGAGGAAGAGCUGGAAUCUGACUCCGAAUCAGAAGAAGAGGAAGAACUAGUUGAGGAAGGUGAUGAUGAUGAAGUAGAAGAACUUUCCUCAGU